GGAAACAGUUGCUAAGACUGGAUAGGAAAUAAAAAGGCAUCUUUUUAUUUUUAAAAGACCUUUUUCGGAAGGUAUGCUUAAAGAGGGGCUUGCGUCACAUUAGUUAGUUGGCAGGGUAAAGGCCUACCAAGACUAUGAUGUGUAGCUGGACUGAGAGGUUGAACAGCCACAUUGGGACUGAGACACGGCCCAAACUCCUACGGGAGGCAGCAGUAGGGAAUUUUCGGCAAUGGAGGAAACUCUGACCGAGCAACGCCGCGUGAACGAUGAAGUAUUUCGGUAUGUAAAGUUCUUUUAUUGAAGAAGAAAAAAUAGUGGAAAAACUAUCUUGACGAUAUUCAAUGAAUAAGCCCCGGCAAACUAUGUGCCAGCAGCCGCGGUAAUACAUAGGGGGCGAGCGUUAUCCGGAAUUAUUGGGCGUAAAGGGUGCGUAGGCGGUUUAAUAAGUCUAUAGUUUAAUUUCAGUGCUUAACACUGUCCUGCUAUAGAAACUAUUAGACUAGAGUGAGAUAGAGGCAAGUGGAAUUCCAUGUGUAGCGGUAAAAUGCGUAAAUAUAUGGAGGAACACCAGAGGCGUAGGCGGCUUGCUGGGUCUUUACUGACGCUGAGGCACGAAAGCGUGGGGAGCAAACAGGAUUAGAUACCCUGGUAGUCCACGCCGUAAACGAUGAGUACUAAGUGUCGGGAUUACUCGGUACUGAAGUUAACACAUUAAGUACUCCGCCUGAGUAGUACGUACGCAAGUAUGAAACUUAAAGGAAUUGACGGGACUCCGCACAAGCGGUGGAUCAUGUUGUUUAAUUCGAAGAUACACGAAAAACCUUACCAGGUCUUGACAUACUCUGCAAAGCUAUAGCAAUAUAGUGGAGGUUAUCAGGGAUACAGGUGGUGCAUGGUUGUCGUCAGCUCGUGUCGUGAGAUGUUAGGUUAAGUCCUAAAACGAGCGCAACCCUUGUCAUUAGUUGCCAGCAUGUCAUGAUGGGCACUUUAAUGAGACUGCCAAUGAAAAAUUGGAGGAAGGUGAGGAUCACGUCAAAUCAUCAUGCCCCUUAUGAUCUGGGCUACAAACGUGAUACAAUGGCUGUUACAAAGAGUAGCUGAAACGCAAGUUUAUAGCCAAUCUCAUAAAAGCAGUCUCAGUUCGGAUUGAAAAUCGAAUUCCCGCGGCCGCCAUGGCGGCCGGGAGCAUGCGACGUCGGGCCCAAUCGCCCCCCAUAUUAGG
rnacentral:rRNA from 1 species